rnacentral:snoRNA from 1 species
GGGUCAAUGAUGAGUACUUUAUAUUGCCUUAUGGGUUAGUGAUGACUUGAAUAUCACAUACAAGGCACGACACUGAGGCCC